rnacentral:lncRNA from 1 species
GUCUACCGGGAGCGUUGGUAGGAGCGCGGAUGCAGUGUGCGGGCUGGGGCUGGGGAGCUGCUGGAGCCUUUGCGAGCGGCUUGCGAGUCUCUGCUAGACAGGGCGAUGAAUGGCUAAAGGCCAUUGCAGAACUGCCCGAGGGAAGGCGAGCCUUCGAUGUGGGAUUACGGCGGUUCUGAGUUUAGACUCAUCAAGCCCUCCACACUUCGUACAGCAAAGAGCUCGGCAUUGGCUCGGAAUUUGUAACUUUAGGGACAGUGCCCACCCUUAGGUUGUUGUAUAUAUAGGGCAUUACGAAAUAAUGUAUGUGUAACGUGGGGUUCUGGUAUUAAAGUGCGUUUGCGAUUCCGCUACCUUC